AUGGAAUUAAUACCCCUCAAAAUCUGCUAUGCUUCUUAUUGUUUGCCUCAACACCAUCAUCUCCACUCGUGCAACACCUUACUUCCAUUUUCCAGUUGUUCAAUGCCUUCCACAAAUCCCAGUGUCACCAAGAAUUAUAGUAUAGAUAUGCUCCCAUCCACUUCUUUUACCAAAUCGUAUUUACCGCCACUUGCAUACUAUGCUGUCCUGUCAUAUUUCUAA